AGGUAAGCUACUAAGAGCGAAUGGUGGAUGCCUUGACUGGUAAAGGCGAUGAAGGACGUACUAGACUGCGAUAAGCUACGGGGAGCUGUCAAGAAGCUUUGAUCCGUAGAUUUCCGAAUGGGGCAACCCAAUGUAUAGAGAUAUACAUUACCUAUAUAGGAGCGAACGAGGGGAAUUGAAACAUCUUAGUACCCUCAGGAAAAGAAAUCAAUAGAGAUUGCGUCAGUAGCGGCGAGCGAAAGCGCAAGAGGGCAAACCCAGUGCUUGCACUGGGGGUUGUAGGACUGCAAUGUGCAAGAGGUAAGUUUAGCAGAACAUUCUGGAAAGUAUAACCAUAGAGGGUGAUAGUCCCGUAUGCGAAAAACAAACCUUAGCUAGCAGUAUCCUGAGUAGGGCGGGACACGAGGAAUCCUGUCUGAAUCCGGGUCGACCACGAUCCAACCCUAAAUACUAAUACCAGAUCGAUAGUGCACAAGUACCGUGAGGGAAAGGUGAAAAGAACUGAGGUGAUCAGAGUGAAAUAGAACCUGAAACCAUUUGCUUACAAUCAUUCAGAGCCCUAUGUAGCAAUACAGGGUGAUGGACUGCCUUUUGCAUAAUGAGCCUGCGAGUUGUGGUGUCUGGCAAGGUUAAGCAAACGCGAAGCCGUAGCGAAAGCGAGUCUGAAUAGGGCGCUUAGUCAGAUGCUGCAGACCCGAAACGAAGUGAUCUAUCCAUGAGCAAGUUGAAGCUAGUGUAAGAACUAGUGGAGGACUGAACCCAUAGGCGUUGAAAAGCCCCGGGAUGACUUGUGGAUAGGGGUGAAAGGCCAAUCAAACUUCGUGAUAGCUGGUUCUCUCCGAAAUAUAUUUAGGUAUAGCGUUGUGUCGUAAUAUAAGGGGGUAGAGCACUGAAUGGGCUAGGGCAUACACCAAUGUACCAAACCCUAUCAAACUCCGAAUACCUUAUAUGUAAUCACAGCAGUCAGGCGGCGAGUGAUAAAAUCCGUCGUCAAGAGGGAAACAACCCAGACUACCAGCUAAGGUCCCUAAAUCUUACUUAAGUGGAAAACGAUGUGAAGUUACUUAAACAACCAGGAGGUUGGCUUAGAAGCAGCCAUCCUUUAAAGAAAGCGUAAUAGCUCACUGGUCUAGUGAUUUUGCGCGGAAAAUAUAACGGGGCUAAAGUAAGUACCGAAGCUGUAGACUUAGUUUACUAAGUGGUAGGAGAGCGUUCUAUUUGCGUCGAAGGUAUACCGGUAAGGAGUGCUGGAGCGAAUAGAAGUGAGCAUGCAGGCAUGAGUAGCGAUAAUUAAUGUGAGAAUCAUUAACGCCGUAAACCCAAGGUUUCCUACGCGAUGCUCGUCAUCGUAGGGUUAGUCGGGUCCUAAGUCGAGUCCGAAAGGGGUAGACGAUGGCAAAUUGGUUAAUAUUCCAAUACCAACAUUAGUGUGCGAUGGAAGGACGCUUAGGGCUAAGGGGGCUAGCGGAUGGAAGUGCUAGUCUAAGGUCGUAGGAGGUUAUACAGGCAAAUCCGUAUAACAAUACUCCGAGAACUGAAAGGCUUUUUGAAGUCUUCGGAUGGAUAGAAGAACCCCUGAUGCCGUCGAGCCAAGAAAAGUUUCUAAGUUUAGCUAAUGUUGCCCGUACCGUAAACCGACACAGGUGGGUGGGAUGAGUAUUCUAAGGCGCGUGGAAGAACUCUCUUUAAGGAACUCUGCAAAAUAGCACCGUAUCUUCGGUAUAAGGUGUGGUUAGCUUUGUAUUAGGAUUUACUCCGAAAGCAAGGAAACUUACAACAAAGAGUCCCUCCCGACUGUUUACCAAAAACACAGCACUCUGCUAACUCGUAAGAGGAUGUAUAGGGUGUGACGCCUGCCCGGUGCUCGAAGGUUAAUUGAUGGGGUUAGCAUUAGCGAAGCUCUUGAUCGAAGCCCGAGUAAACGGCGGCCGUAACUAUAACGGUCCUAAGGUAGCGAAAUUCCUUGUCGGUUAAAUACCGACCUGCAUGAAUGGCGUAACGAGAUGGGAGCUGUCUCAAAGAGGGAUCCAGUGAAAUUGUAGUGGAGGUGAAAAUUCCUCCUACCCGCGGCAAGACGGAAAGACCCCGUGGACCUUUACUACAGCUUGACACUGCUACUUGGAUAAGAAUGUGCAGGAUAGGUGGGAGGCUUUGAGUAUAUGACGCCAGUUGUAUAUGAGCCAUUGUUGAGAUACCACUCUUUCUUAUUUGGGUAGCUAACCAGCUUGAGUUAUCCUCAAGUGGGACAAUGUCUGGUGGGUAGUUUGACUGGGGCGGUCGCCUCCCAAAUAAUA
rnacentral:rRNA from 1 species